rnacentral:rRNA from 1 species
AUAUAACUAAGCGGAGGAAAAGAAACUAACGAGGAUUCCCCGAGUAGCAGCGAGCGAAACGGGAAGAGCUCAGGCCGAAAAGGACGAUGCUUGUCGUCGUCCGUUGUGGUCUGCGAAGCGCCCGUGGGCGGACUGGCGGAGAAAAGUUCUGUGGAAAUGGACACCAGUGAGGGUGAAAGUCCCGUCAAAUCCGCCAACCCGCCUGCCCGGACGCUUUUUGGAGUAGUGCUGCACGAUAUUGUAGCAUGAAGCAGGUGGUAAAUUCCAUCUAAAGCUAAAUAUUUGCGAGAGACCGAUAGCGCACAAGUA